GCCUUUAUGGUGUAGUGAUAGUAGCACGCAUCCCCAGUAUGGAUAAAACGCGGGUUCGAUUCCCGCCUGAGACC